rnacentral:rRNA from 1 species
AGAGUUUGAUCAUGGCUCAGGACGAACGCUGGCGGCGUGCUUAACACAUGCAAGUCGAACGGAGCACCCUUGACUGAGGUUUCGGCCAAAUGAUAGGAAUGCUUAGUGGCGGACUGGUGAGUAACGCGUGAGGAACCUGCCUUCCAGAGGGGGACAACAGUUGGAAACGACUGCUAAUACCGCAUGAUAUAUUUGAGGGGCAUCCCUUGGAUAUCAAAGAUUAUAUCGCUGGAAGAUGGCCUCGCGUCUGAUUAGCUAGUAGGCGGGGUAACGGCCCACCUAGGCGACGAUCAGUAGCCGG